UAUGGCCACAUCACGUUAAGACUCCAGUUCCCGUAUAAUCACCGAAGUUAAGCAACGUCGAGCCUGGUCAUUACACAGAUGGGUGACCGUUUAGGAAUAUCAGGUGCUGUAA